rnacentral:misc_RNA from 1 species
AACGCAUAUUGCACCCUCAGGUCUUUUCCAGAGGGUAUGCCUGUUUGAGUGUCAUUAAAUACAUCAAUGUAGACUUGUCUUUUGACUUGCUCUACACUUGGAAGUUGAAGGCUUGCUGGUUGUCAUGAUCAGCUCCUUUUAAAUUCAUUAGCGGGACUUUUGAAGACUUGGCUUCAGUUUGAUACAAUGUCUAUGCUGUCGCUAAGGAACGGUUUAGUCUGGCUUAUAAUUGUCCUUUGGGACUGUCUCUAGUGGACAUAACAAACUUUGACUCUUGACCUCAAAUCAGGUAGGACUACCCGCUGAACUUAA